rfam:Xanthomonadales bacterium 63-13 scnpilot_p_inoc_scaffold_521, whole genome shotgun sequence.
AUUUAUCGACGCACAGCGCGACACGUUCGGGGUCGAGCCGAUUUGCAGGGUUCUGCAGAUCGCCCCG